UACAGAGGUCUCAAGCGUUGUUCGGAUUCAUUGGGCGUAAAGGGUGCGUAGGCGGCGCGGUAAGUCGGGUGUGAAAUCUCGGAGCUUAACUCCGAAACUGCAUUCGAUACUGCCGUGCUUGAGGACUGGAGAGGAGACUGGAAUUUACGGUGUAGCGGUGAAAUGCGUAGAUAUCGUAAGGAAGACCAGUGGCGAAGGCGGGUCUCUGGACAGUUUCUGACGCUGAGGCACGAAGGCCAGGGGAGCAAACGGG
rnacentral:rRNA from 1 species